AAUAUAAUGAAAUUUUGGUUAAUCUUUUAGCAGAAGUCCUAACUGUUUUUAAGCUAGCUCUUCAUCUGUGGAUGUAAGGACUUAGGAGAAUUAGCAACAGCCAGCAGGAGAGAAUAGGAUGCAGCAGUUACAAUACUUAGGUUUGUUAUAGUAAUCUGGUUUCACUGAGGUUUUCUUUACUCAUUUUAAUUCUCUUUUAAAUCAUCUGUUGUUACAGAGUCCCUAAAAUGCAUUAUGGAAUUGCAAGCUAAAGCCAAGGCAUACCCAUUCAACAGUGACUCACUGUGCAGCCUCGGCAAGUGUCUGUCUCAGUUCAGGAAGAGGUGAAUGGGGCAGUGAUAGCUCUCAGUCUCAUAAAACACUUCAAGAACUUCCUGUGAAAAGGAGUAGCUCUGUUGCUACAAUCUCUUGCUUGCCUCCUUCCUAGCCCAGUAACAUAGAAAGAGCAAAGGACAAAAGCCCUGCAGAAAACAAACUCUUCCUGCUCAGCAUCUAUUUAUAUCAGAUGUUGGAACCCCCACCCAUCCCUUCCUGACAGAUCUGAUAAAAGUGGAGGUUACAAGAGGACUUUGGUGAUCUGCUCUGGGUAAGCCAAAGUGCCUUGGCUCUGGUUGGUGCAAGAUCAAACCCUCCGCAGGGAGCAGUGUCAAGUCCUGCAGGUGGCUUUAUUCCUACAGUGCUGGGCUGUGCUGCUGCUGAAGCCUCCUGCUCCCCUUGCUCCCAAGACUUGCUUCUGGACUUAAGUGCUGCAUCAGGAGUAAUCACCUACCUAAAAGUAAGCUCCAUUUCUUUGCUGAAGUCAUUGUUUAUAAAAGAGCUAUAGGCUGCCAAAAUGGUUUUGCUGUGAUGAUUUUAUCAGGCACUCAAUUCAUGUACUCCCUGCCAUUCUCAUUUCUGCAUCACCAGUUUUCUCAAUGAUAAACAACUGACUUUGCUUCAGUGAAUUAGUUGUGGAGACAAACAUGAGCCUCAACACCUUUUAAUAAAUUCACAAUCUCAGCCUGUAUCACUAAAUCAGAAGAGAUUGUAAUUUGAAAACUAAUUUAUA
rnacentral:lncRNA from 1 species